UACGUAGGGUGCAAGCGUUGUCCGGAAUUAUUGGGCGUAAAGAGCUCGUAGGCGGUCUGUCGCGUCGGCUGUGAAAUCCCGAGGCUCAACCUCGGGUCUGCAGUCGAUACGGGCAAACUAGAGUAUUGCAGGGGAGACUGGAAUUCCUGGUGUAGCGGUGAAAUGCGCAGAUAUCAGGAGGAACACCGGUGGCGAAGGCGGGUCUCUGGGCAAUAACUGACGCUGAGGAGCGAAGGCCAGGGGAGCAAACGGG
rnacentral:rRNA from 1 species